AUCUAUGCUAAUGCAUACGAGAGAGGAGACCUCACCAUAACAUGCCUGACAAGUAGCCACUUCUCUAAUAAUGAUAUUUUCUGAAUAAAUACAUAUUUAUUAGUUUUCUAACGAAAAAAACUGUGCAUUAUAUCCUACAAGGAAUCUUGCACAAUUUAAACCAUUAUUGUGAUUAAUCUAUUUCAUUUUUCACAUUUAUUUGUAAAUAUAUCUCUUCCUACUCCCCUAUUAAAGAAGUUUUCCUUAUAAGAUUAAAAAAGAAAAGAAAAAGAAACAAAUAUAAAACUAACAAAUUCUCAUCUCUUUAUUUAAUAUUUGUAUACAUUGUUCCACACUGGGAAUCUCCCACUUAAUGCAAUGAAGGGAGGGAGGUACAUGUUCUCCGCUCUUCUGUGGGACCAUCCUUUGUCCUUAAAAUUACAUAUUAUGUUGUAUUUUUGUUGUCAUCAUAUAUUUUGUUUGCUCUUCUUAUUUCCCUGUAAUAGUUCACCUAAGUCUUUCCUUGCUUCACUGAAUUCUUCAUAUUUGUCAUUUUUUAAAGUUGGGACAGUAGGCCUGAAAUCAAAUAGACAAUCCCAAAGCUGGACAUUUCUUUGGAGGAAUUAUGCCAGGAAAGUCUUAUAAGGGAUGGUACCUUGGACUGUGAGUUGAGUCAAAUCUGGAAAUGUGGCACCCAGCUAGUGAGGAAAUAAUAAUGAAUGUAAUGAUUGUGGGAAGGCCUUCUGCUGCAAGAUAGACCUCAUUUGACAUCAGAUGAUCCAUACUGUGAAAGAUCUUAAGAAUGUAAUGACUAUGGGAAGACUUUCUGCCUGACUACAGCUCUUAAUUUACAUUGAAGAAUUCAUAUUGGAGGAAAAUCUCAUUAGUGUAAUGAAUGUUGUAAGGCCUUGUACCUGAUCAAAGAACUUACUCAAAAUCAAAAGAUUCAUACUGGAGGCAAACCUUCUAAGUGUAAUGAGUGUGGAGAGCUUUCCUUCACAAGAGAGACCUCAGUUGACAUUAGAAUAUUCUCACUAGAGAUACACCUUGGCAAGGUGUUGCGCCAUAGUACAGUUCUCAUCGGGCAUCAAUCUGGAGAGAAGCCUUACGAAUGUAAGCAAUGUGGGAAGUCGUUUCCUUGGAAAAUGUAGGA